GCACGGCGGCAUAGUGGUUAGCACUGUUGCCUCACAAGAAGGAGGUUCUGGGUUCGAAUCCAGGUCCGACCG
rnacentral:tRNA from 1 species